rnacentral:rRNA from 1 species
ACGGCAGCGCGGGGCAACCUGGCGGCGAGUGGCGAACGGGUGAGUAAUAUAUCGGAACGUACCCUGGAGUGGGGGAUAACGUAGCGAAAGUUACGCUAAUACCGCAUACGAUCUAAGGAUGAAAGUGGGGGAUCGCAAGACCUCAUGCUCCUGGAGCGGCCGAUAUCUGAUUAGCUAGUUGGUGGGGUAAAGGCCUACCAAGGCAUCGAUCAGUAGCUGGUCUGAGAGGACGACCAGCCACACUGGAACUGAGACACGGUCCAGACUCCUACGGGAGGCAGCAGUGGGGAAUUUUGGACAAUGGGCGCAAGCCUGAUCCAGCAAUGCCGCGUGAGUGAAGAAGGCCUUCGGGUUGUAAAGCUCUUUUGUCAGGGAAGAAACGGUGAGGGCUAAUAUCCCUUGCUAAUGACGGUACUUGAAGAAUAAGCACCGGCUAACUACGUGCCAGCAGCCCGGGUAAUAC